rnacentral:rRNA from 1 species
UACGAAGGGGCUAGCGUUGCUCGGAAUCACUGGGCGUAAAGGGUGCGUAGGCGGGUCUUUAAGUCAGGGGUGAAUCCUGGAGCUCAACUCCAGAACUGCCUUGAUACUGAAGAUCUUGAGUUCGGGAGAGGUGGAGUGGAACUGCGAGUGUAGAGGUGAAAUUCGUAGAUAUUCGCAAGAACACCAGUGGCGAAGGCGGACUCGACUGGCCCGUAG